rnacentral:rRNA from 1 species
UACGGAGGGGGCUAGCGUUGUUCGGAAUUACUGGGCGUAAAGCGCACGUAGGCGGCUUUGUAAGUUAGAGGUGAAAGCCCGGAGCUCAACUUCGGAAUUGCCUUUAAGACUGCAUCGCUUGAAUCGUGGAGAGGUGAGUGGAAUUCCGAGUGUAGAGGUGAAAUUCGUAGAUAUUCGGAAGAACACCAGUGGCGAAGGCGACUCACUGGACACGUAUUGACGCUGAGGUGCGAAAGCGUGGGGAGCAAACAGG